rnacentral:rRNA from 1 species
UACGUAGGGGGCAAGCGUUGUCCGGAAUCAUUGGGCGUAAAGAGCGCGUAGGCGGUCCGGUAAGUCGGUUGUGAAAAACUGGGGGCUCAACCCUCAGAGGCCGACCGAUACUGUCGGGCUAGAAGUCCGGAAGAGGCGAGUGGAAUUCCUGGUGUAGCGGUGAAAUGCGCAGAUAUCAGGAAGAACACCCGUGGCGAAGGCGGCUCUCGUGGGACGGUACUGACGCUGAGACGCGAAAGCGUGGGGAGCGAACAGA